UAAGCCUACGGGACGCAGCAGUCGGGAAUAUUGCGCAAUGGAGGAAACUCUGACGCAGUGACGCCGCGUAUAGGAAGAAGGUUUUCGGAUUGUAAACUAUUGUCGUUAGGGAAGAUAAAAGACUGUACCUAAGGAGGAAGCCCCGGCUAACUAUGUGCCAGCAGCCGCGGUAAUACAUAGGGGGCAAGCGUUAUCCGGAUUUAUUGGGUUUAAAGGGUGCGUAGGCGGGCUGUUAAGUCAGCGGUAAAAGCCCGGGGCUCAACCCCGGCGAGCCGUUGAAACUGGCUGUCUUGAGAUGUCGAGAG
rnacentral:rRNA from 1 species